GAGGAAGACUCACCCAGGACCAGCGCUCUGGGAUUCCCUAGCGGUCUCUGAGCGGACACAUUUAAUACGCCUGCCCAAGCCCCCGAUCGCCUACUUGGGGAGUUUCACGACCCUCAGGACGCCAUAGCAUUUCAAGCUGUGACCUUGUCAAGUUUCCGAAGAUAAGCAGCUGUGAACCUGGUUUGUAGUCAAGAUGAGAGACUUGUUCCCAACCUCACGAAGCAGAAUCUGGGAUUGAACACACAUCCAUCCGCUGCACUGGAAACUCAGAGUCUUAACCACUGGACAGCCAGGGAAGUCCCAGCAUCAUUGCUUUUUGAAGGCAGGAAAAAGCAAAGCCUUAGAGAACAAGACAGA